rnacentral:rRNA from 1 species
GAUGAACGCUGGCGGCGUGCCUAACACAUGCAAGUCGAACGGAGAUUACGGACGGAAGUUUUCGGAUGGAAGCCUGUAAUUCUUAGUGGCGGACGGGUGAGUAACGCGUGGGCAACCUGCCCUAUACAGGGGGAUAGCAGCUGGAAACGGCUGGUAAGACCGCAUAAGUCGGUUAAAUCGCAUGAUUUGAUCGGGAAAUGAGCAAUCAGGUAUAGGAUGGGCCCGCGUCCGAUUAGCCAGUUGGCAGGGUAAAAGCCUACCAAAGCGACGAUCGGUAGCUGGACUGAGAGGUCGGACGGCCACAUUGGGACUGAGACACGGCCCAAACUCCUACGGGAGGCAGCAGUGGGGGAUAUUGCACAAUGGAGGAAACUCUGAUGCAGCGACGCCGCGUGAGUGAAGAAGUAUUUCGGUAUGUAAAGCUCUAUCAGCAGGGAAGAUGAUGACGGUACCUGACUAAGAAGCCCCGGCUAACUACGUGCCAGCAGCCGCGGUAAUACGUAGGGGGCGAGCGUUGUCCGGAAUUAUUGGGCGUAAAGAGUGCGUAGGCGGCAAAUUAAGUCAGAUGUGAAAACUAAGGGCUCAACCCAUAGAUUGCAUCUGAAACUGAUAUGCUUGAGUCAAGGAGAGGAAAGUGGAAUUCCUAGUGUAGCGGUGGAAUGCGUAGAUAUUAGGAGGAAUACCGGUGGCGAAGGCGACUUUCUGGACUUGAACUGACGCUGAGGCACGAAAGCGUGGGGAGCAAACAGG